CGUAGGGUGCAAGCGUUAAUCGGAAUUACUGGGCGUAAAGCGUGCGCAGGCGGUCGUGCAAGACAGGUGGUGAAAUCCCCGGGCUUAACCUGGGAACCGCACUUGUGACUGCACGGCUGGAGUACGGCAGAGGGGGAUGGAAUUCCGCGUGUAGCAGUGAAAUGCGUAGAUAUGCGGAGGAACACCGAUGGCGAAGGCAGUCCCCUGGGCCUGUACUGACGCUCAUGCACGGAAAGCGUAGGGGAGCAAACAGGAUUAGAUACCCUGGUAGUCCACGCCCUAAACGAUGUCGAACUGGUUCGUUGGGAAGGUUUCUUCUCAGUAACGUAGCUAACGCGUGAAGUUGACCGCCUGGGGAGUACGGCCGCAAAGGUUGA
rnacentral:rRNA from 1 species